rnacentral:rRNA from 1 species
GACGAACGCUGGCGGCGCGCUUAACACAUGCAAGUCGAACGGGAAGGCCUGCUUUCCCUUGUGGAUUGCGGGUACUCGAGUGGCGAACGGGUGAGUAACACGUGAGUGAUCUGCCCCCAACUUGGGUAUAAGCCUGGGAAACUGGGUCUAAUUCCCGAUAGGACUGCAGGGUGGUGCCUGUGGUGGAAAACGAUUUUCUAGUGGUUGGGGAUGAGCUCGCGGCCUAUCAGCUUGUUGGUGGGGUAAUGGCCUACCAAGGCGGCGACGGGUAGCCGGCCUGGGAGGGUGGACGGCCACAUUGGGACUGAGAUACGGCCCAGACUCCUACGGGAGGCAGCAGUGGGGAAUAUUGCACAAUGGGCGGAAGCCUGAUGCAGCGACGCCGCGUGGGGGAUGACGGCCUUCGGGUUGUAAACUCCUUUCGACCGCGAGGAAGCCACCUGGUUGGAAGGGUGGUGACGGUAGUGGUAGAAGAAGCACCGGCUAACUACGUG